CAGUAGGACCAGUAGAACCAUUAGGACCAGUAGGACCAGUAGGACCAUUAGGACCAGUAGGACCAGUAGAACCAGUAGGACCAGUAGGACCAGUAGAACCAUUAGGACCAGUAGGAUCAGUAGAACCAGUAGAACCAGUAGGACCAGUAGGGUCAGUAGGACCAGUAGGACCAGUAAAACCAGUAGAACCAGUAGGACCAGUAGGACCAGUAGAACCAUUAGGACCAGUAGGACCAGUAGAACCAGUAGGAGGCAGCACCUCCCCCUCCCCCUCCACACCAAUAAACUAAUAAUCAAAAAUGAUAAGUUAGGCAUUGGAAAUGGCCAUAAUAUGAUAAUGAUAAGAUGACCGUAAUAUGGUGAUGAUAAGAUGACCAUAAUAUGAUAAUGAUAAGAUGACCAUAAUAUGAUAAUGAUAAGAUGACCAUAAUAUGAUAAUGAUAAGAUGACCAUAAUAUGAUACGAUGACUCUAAUGGUCAACAAAAUGACCUCUGUGUUGUGUCCUCUCUCAGAAGAGACUGCUCCACUUCCUUCUCCCCUUCCUGCCCCACUUCCUGCCCCACUUCCUGCUCCACUUCCUGCUCCACUUCCUGCUCCACUUCCUGCCCCACUUCCUGCCCCACUUCCUGCCCCACUUCCAGCCCCCCGCCUGAGGAGGGCGCCCUCUGAGCCGGAGACGGAGGAGGCCAGCAACCUCAAGGGGGCGGAGUCUCCUUCUGACCGGAGGGGUUCUUCUGGGUCAGAACCAGGAGAGGAUCAGAGAGCAGAGGAGGGUGAGGAAGACUCCCCUGAUGAUGAAGAACCCUCGGUCUGAGGCCGUCCUCCAUCUCUGCGCUCCAGGGGUCCGUUCUCCCCGGUCCUCCCUCAGUCCACUGGACCAGACCAGACCGGUCCAGACCCCAUAUAGGAUCAUAAUAAUAAUAAUAAUGCCUCCUAACUUCAUUACAGAUUCAUGAAUCAGAUAAGAUGUUCGAUCUUUACUGUCUUUUUUUAUAUAUGAAUAUAAUGGUGAUGGUUUUAAUUUUACUGGGAAAUUAUAUAUGCUUUUUAUUUUUUAUUUGGUUAAAAUAAAUCCUGUUCUAUUGUGGGAAACCCUUCCUAUCUAUAUAUACGAAGAUGUACGUCAAAUCUAAAGUUGUGAAAUAUUUCUGGAUAUUAAAGUCUUGAUUGAUACUGACUCUCAUUUCAUUUUGAUUCCUAUCUCUCUCUCUCUCUCUCUCUCUCUCUCUCUCUCUCUCUCUCUCUCUCUCUCUCUCUCUCUCUCUCUCUCUCUCUCUCUCCCCCUCCCUCCCUCUCUCUCUCUCUCUCUCCUUCCUCCCUGUCUCCUCUCCCUCCCUCCUCCCUCUCCCUGCUCCCUGUCUCCUCUCCCUCUCUCCCUCCCUCCCUCCUCUCCCCCUCCCUCCUUCCCCUAACCCCUAUAUAUUCCCUUGAGGUGUUUUCCGACCAGUCUGGUGAAGCUCUUCUGUGGAGACCUUGAGUGUGGACUGUAGCUUGGUUUCAGUCGGUCGUAGUCUGGCCGUUUCUAGAUUUAAUUUAGAAGCCGUUGCAUCAGUGCUGGUUUGAGAAGUGUUAUUAGCUGUAGAGCGUUACUAUUGGCUGUGCUAUUAUUAGUUUUAGAGCUAUUCUAUUGGCUAUAAUAUUAGUUAGUAGUUUAAGGGUUAUACUCUCAGCUGUUCCAUUAGUUAGUAGUUUAAGGGUUCUACUAUUAACUGUACUGUCAGUUAGUAGUUAAAGGGUCAUACUCUCAGCUGUACCAUUGGUUAGUAGUUUAGUUAGUAGUUAAAGGGUUCUACUUUAAGCUGUCCUAUUAGUUAGAAGUUUUAGGGUUCUACUCUCAGCUGUUCCUUUGGUUAGUAGUUUUAAGGGUUCUACUGUUAGCAUUACUGUUGGUUAGUAGUUUAGUUGGUAGUUUUAAAGCUAUUAUAUAACCUGUUCCAUUAGUUAGUAGUUUAGUUAGUAGUUUGAGGGUUCUACUCUCAGCUGUUCCAUUGAUUAGUAGUUUAGUUAGUAGUUAAAGGGUUCUACUGUUAGCAUUACUGUUGGUUAGUAGUUUAGUUGGUAGUUUUAGAGCUAUUCUAUUACCUGUUCCAUUAGUUAGUAGUUUAAGGGUUGUGAUCAGCUGGUUCCAUGGACGGUUUGGACGCUGCCGUGUUUCUACAAACCUGGCAGCACUUUGACCCUGAAGGUACGUUCACUACCAUCACUAUACACUACCUCACUAGUUCACCACCUUCACUAAUUCACUACCUUCACUAUUCACUACCUCACUAGUUCUAUACCUUCACUAGUUCACUACCUUCACUAGUUCACUACCUUCACUAUUCACUACCUCACUAGUUCACUACCUUUACUAGUUCACUAUUCGUUACCUUCACUAAUUCACUACCUUCACUAUUCACUACCUCACUAGUUCUAUACCUUCACUAGUUCACUACCUUCACUAUUCACUAGUUCACUACCUUCACUAUUCACUACCUUUACUAGUUCACUAUUCACUACCUUCACUAGUUCACUACUUGCACUAUUCACUAGUUCUCCACCUUCACUAUUCACUAGCUUCACUAUUCUCUACUUUCACUUUUCAGUAUAUUCACUAGUUCACUACCUUCUCUAUUCGCUAUUCAGCAUGUUUACUAUUCACUAAGUUCACUAUUCACUACGUUUACUACCUAACGCUGCGGAACCUUUAUAAUAAACUCUGACAACUGAUCAAGUACAGAUUCUGAUCAAUGAAAAGGUUUUAAAGUGUACCUCACAAACGACAGAAACAUUGGUGACAUAGUAGUUAGCUGUAAGUAGUGAGUAGAACACUUAAAAACGGUUUAACUUUAACCAUUGCAGCUCUCCGUCUCUAGUAUUAUGGGGUAGAUCUUCUGCCGGAGGAGCAGAGAACCCGGAC
ensembl:lncRNA